AUUGAACGCUGGCGGCAGGCUUCACACAUGCAAGUCGAACGAGUGGCGGACGGGUGAGUAAUGCUUGGGAAUCUAGCUUAUGGAGGGGGAUAACUACGGGAAACUGUAGCUAAUACCGCGUACCAUAGGAUGAGCCCAAGUGGGAUUAGGUCGUUGGUGAGGUAAUGGCUCAACAAGCCGACGAUGUCUAGCUGGUCUGAGAGGCUGACCAGCCACACUGGGACUGAUGCACGGCCCAGACUCCUACGGGAGGCAGCAGUGGGGAAUAUUGCGCAAUGGGGGCAACCUGACGCAGCCAUGCCGCGUGAAUGAAGAAGGCCUUCGGGUUGUAAAGUUCUUUCGGUAGCGAGGCGUUAACGACAGAAGAAGCACCGGCAAAAUCCGUGCCAGCAGCCGCGGUAAUUC
rnacentral:rRNA from 1 species